rnacentral:rRNA from 1 species
UAAUACGUAGGGGGCGAGCGUUGUCCGAAGUUACUGGGCGUAAAGAGCGCGUAGGCUGGUCUUUAAGUGAGUGGUGAAAGGUUCGGGCUCAACCCGGACACUGCCUUUCAUACUGGGGACCUUGAGUGUGGGAGAGGCGAGUGGAAUGGUCGGUGUAGCGGUGAAAUGCGUAGAUAUCGAUCGGAACACCCAUGGCGAAGGCAGCUCGCUGGCCUAACACUGACGCUGAGGCGCGAAAGCGUGGGGAGCAAACAGGAUUAGAUACCCUGGUAGUCCACGCCGUAAACGAUGAGUGCUAGAUGUAAGGGGUAUCGACCCCCCUUGUGUCGCAGCUAACGCAAUAAGCACUCCGCCUGGGGAGUACGGCCGCAAGGUUG